rnacentral:rRNA from 2 species
UACUGAGUGGCAGACGGGUGAGUAACAUGUGGGAAUCUGCCUUGUGGUUCAGGACAACAUUGGGAAACCGAUGCUAAUACUGGAUAAGCCCUUACGGGGAAAGUUUUAAUGCCAUAAGAUGAGCCCGCAUUUGAUUAGUUAGUUGGUGAGGUAAUGGCUCACCAAGACAAUGAUCAAUAGCUGAUCUGAGAGGAUGAUCAGCCACACUGGGACUGAGACACGGCCCAGACUCCUACGGGAGGCAGCAGUGGGGAAUCUUGCACAAUGGAGGAAACUCUGAUGCAGCGAUGCCGCGUGAGUGAAGAAGGCCUUUGGGUUGUAAAGCUCUUUUGUAGGGGAAGAUAAUGACUGUACCCUAAGAAUAAGGUCCGGCUAACUUCGUGCCAGCAGCCGCGGUAAUACGAAGGGACCUAGCGUAGUUCGGAAUUACUGGGCGUAAAGCGCGCGUAGGCCGUUGAGUUAGUUAAUUGUGAAAUCCCAAAGCUUAACUUUGGAACUGCAAUUAAAACU